GGAAUCUUCCACAAUGGACGAAAGUCUGAUGGAGCAACGCCGCGUGAGUGAAGAAGGGUUUCGGCUCGUAAAACUCUGUUGUUAAAGAAGAACAUAUCUGAGAGUAACUGUUCAGGUAUUGACGGUAUUUAACCAGAAAGCCACGGCUAACUACGUGGCAG
rnacentral:rRNA from 1 species